rnacentral:rRNA from 1 species
UACGGAGGGUGCAAGCGUUAUCCGGAAUCAUUGGGUUUAGAGGGUCCGCAGGCGGUCUUAUAAGUCAGUGGUGAAAGCCUACAGCUCAACUGUAGAACUGCCAUUGAUACUGUAGGACUUGAAUUUGGUCGAAGUGGGCGGAAUGUGACAUGUAGCGGUGAAAUGCAUAGAUAUGUCACAGAACACCGAUAGCGAAGGCAGCUCACUAGGCCAGUAUUGACGCUCAUGGACGAAAGCGUGGGGAGCAAACAGG